CCCAGGUAGCCCAAACCUGUCGGGCCGGUUUCGAGAGCAGCGGGACGGAGGCUGGUGAAGGAUGCACGGCUUGCCCCGUGCGCGGCCCGCACUCUCGGCCGCCUGAGCCCCGUCCGCCCGGCCCGCAGCCCACCGGCCGACCCCAUGGUGCGUGCGCCCGGCCUCCUGGCGGCCCUGCUGGGCCUGGGGCUGGCCCUGGCCCUGGCCCUAAGGCGGGCGGGCGCGGCGGACUGCGGGGCCCUCGGCCCGGCGGAGCGCCUGGCGUUCGCCCCGGCGGCCAAGACCCGCUGGCUGGCCCCUCGCGUCCGCGCGCCGGGGCCCCUGGACCCCCUCUACGGCACCGUGCGCCGCUUCCUCUCCGUGGUGCAGCUGAACCCCCUUCCCGCCGAGCUGAUAAAGGCCUUGCUGAAUGAGCCAUCCUCCGUGAAGGCGGAUGAGGUGGUGCGGUAUGAGGCAGGCUACGUGGUGUGUGCCGUGAUCACCGGCCUCUACCUCCUGGUGGUACCCACCGCUGGGCUCUGCUUCUGUUGCUGCCGCUGCCGCCGGCGCUGUGGGGGCCGAGUGAAGAUGGAGCACAAGACAAUGGCCUGCGAGCGAGGCACCCUCGUGGCCUUCCUGCUGCUGACCACCCUCGUGCUGCUGAUCGGCGUGGUCACUGCCUUUGUCACCAACCAGCGCACGCAUGAGCAGAUGGGCCCCAGUGCCAAGGCCCUGCCGGAGACUCUGCUCAGCCUCCGGGGUCUGGUCUCCGGUGUCCCCCAGGAGCUGCAGGCCGUGGCACAGCAGUUUUCCCUUCCUCAGGAGCAAGUCUUGGAGGAACUGGAUGGUGUCAGCAGGAGCAUUGGGAACGUGAUCCACACCCAGCUCAAGAGCACCGUGUAUGAGGUCCUGGCCUCCGUGCUCAGCCUGGGCCAGACCCUGCAGGUCUCCGUGGACCAGCUCCGAGCCCUGAACGCCACCUCCACGGAACUUCAGGAGGGGCAGCAGGCCCUGGCGCCGGCUGUCCAGGGGCACCGGGAGCGCCUCCUGGCCCUGCUGCAGGAGCCCGGCUGCCGGGGCUGUGCAGAGGCCCUGGACAGAGCCCACGCCUUGGAGCUGGGAGCUGACUUCAGCCAGGUGCCCUCUGUGGAUGACGCCCUGCAGCGGCUGAAAGGUGUCCCAGAGGCCAACUUCUCCAGCAUGGUCCAGGAGGAGAACAGUACCUUCAACGCCCUCCCGGCUCUGGCUGCCUUGCAGACGGCCGACGUGAUCAGAGAGCUGAAGAAGGUGGUGGCCCAGCAGCCUAGAGAGCUGAGGACACUGGUCGAAGCAUUCCCAGGCUGGGAGGCGGCUGCUCGCUGGAGCCAAGCACUGGAGGAGAUGGAACAGAGCAGCCGCCCCUACCUGAAGGAGGUGCAGAGAUACGAGAAAUACAGGUGGAUUGUGGGCUGCGUGCUGUGCUCUGUGGUCCUGCUUGUGGUGGUCUGUAACCUGCUGGGCCUCAACCUGGGCAUCUGGGGGCUCUGUAACAGGGAAGACCCCAGCCACUCGGAAGCCAAGGGCGAGGCUGGAGCCCGCUUCCUCAUGGUGGGUGUGGGCUUCAGCUUCCUCUUCGCUGCGCCCCUCAUCCUCCUUGUCUUCGCCACCUUCCUGGUGGGUGGCAACGUGCAGACCCUGGUGUGCCGGAGCUGGGAGAGCGGGGAGCUAUAUGAGUUUGCAGACACCCCGGGGAACUUGCCGUCAUCCAUGAACUUGUCCCAACUUCUGGGCCUGAAGAAGAACCUCAGCGUCCUCCUGGCCUAUCAGCAGUGCAAGCAAGGGGCUGCGCUCUGGACGGUCCUGCAGCUCAAUGACUCCUAUGACCUGGAGAAGCACCUGGAUAUCAGCCAGUACACUGCCAAGCUGCAGCAGGAGUUGCAGAAACUCAAAGUGGACGUGAAGAAUCUGGACCUGCUGAGCCCAGCCGCCCGCCAGGACCUGGAGGCCCUGCAGAGCAGUGGGCUCGAGAGCAUCCACUACCCAGGCUUCCUUGUUGAGAUUCAGAAGCCUGUGGUGAACAUCAGCGUGGAGAAGCUGGCCCAGGAGCUGGAGAGACUGUCCCAGACCCAAGGCAAUACUGUGCUGGGGCAGCAGCUGCAGAAGGAGGCCCAGGGGCUCAGAAACCUCCAUCAGGAGAAGCUCCUCCUCCAGCAGAGCCUUGUGGCUAAGCUCAACCUCAGUGUCCAUGCCCUGGCAUCCUCUGCCCCACUUCUCCAGCCGGAGACCUCAAAUGUCCUGGACAGAGUCACUCACCUGGAAGGAGAGCUGCCUACCUGGGCCACCCGUAUCCUGAAGAAUGAAAGUGAGUGUUUCCUGACCCGGGAGAUGGGCUACUUCUCCCAGUACGUGGCCUGGGUGAGAGAGGAGGUGACUCAGCGCAUCGCCACCUGCCAGCCCCUCUCCGGAGCGCUGGACAACGGCCGUGUGAUCCUGUGUGACAUGGCAGCUGACCCCUGGAACGCCUUCUGGUUCUGCCUGGGCUGGUGCACCUUCCUCCUGAUUCCCAGCAUCAUCUUUGCUGUCAAGACCUCCAAAUACUUCCGUCCCAUCCGGAAGCGCCUCAGCACAUCCACCAGACCUAGCUUUGGGGCACUCCUGCUACCCCUGAAGAGCUUCUGAGGCAGGAGAUUCCGGGCUCUGGGCUUGUUCCUGUGGCGGGGCUCAGGGUCUGGCCUGGGGGCCUCACUCCCUCGUUCCCUGCGAUGCUGUAGCUCCGCCAGCUCUGAGGAGACUCAGCUCUUCCACAUCCCGCGGGUCACCUCCCUGAAGCUGUAGGACCCCACAGGGAUACGGCCGCAAGGUGAUGCCCGCGGCCCCGGGCUGCCUGCCUUCCCUGCCGACUUGGCCUGGACCAGAGGAUUGCUGUCGCUUUUGCCACCAGAGCCCAGGCUGGCAUCCAGGCCUGGAUUGCCCCCCAAUUCCAGUUCCCUGAGCCCAUCUUGCUACUCCCUUUGUACGCCUUUCUGCUCACGACCCCUUCAUUCACGCUCAAAAACACACUUACCUUCUGUUGGAUCUCAGAGCCAACAGGUUCCUCCAGGUGUGUCUCCCUCACCCUCCUUGCCGCAAGAUAUUAGCUCCAGGACGGGCCUGUUCUCCGCCUAGUGGAGCCUCCUCAGCCCCUGGGGUAGGACAGAGGCCCUGCCCAGCCCCACUCUGUCCCAUCUGCCCCCCCCCACCCGCCCAUGCCUCCCACACCUCUCCAAGCUCCUUGCCCCUUUUCCUCCUCUCCUCUGACAUCCCACUUGCCCCACUUCACUCUGUCCCCUCCCCAGCCCUCACUUCCUCCCCCCAGGGAAGCCCUUUCCCCCCUUUGUCCCCUCUUUACCUUUUGCCACUACCUGUCGGCCACAGGGACCCCUCCUGCCCAACCACACUAGUCAGGUAAAGCCACCAAGCAGGCCAGGGGCCACCAUGGCCUGGGCCUGGGCCGGCUGCAGGCUCUGCCUCGUGGCCCCUGAGCCCUCCACUGCUCAGGGGGCAGGACCCUCCACAGACCCCGGCCUGGAUGUCUGGCCCCCAGGGGAUGUGGGAGGCCCGUGUGAAGGCUGAGCCCCCCGUCUGCACCUUGGGUUGGAAGUCACACUGCUGUCCCGCGGCUCCUCUCUGAGCACUGACUCCCUAAGGAGGGACCUGGGAUGUGGGCUGGAGCGGGGGCUCCCGCUCGCCUCCCCAGAAGGUACCCUCUUCGACAGUCGCCACCCAGCUUUCCCAGGAGAGAUCUGGUGGCCACAAGAGGAUUUUGCACUGUGGCCCUUCUUCAAUCCUAUGCCCGUGACUGGGCAUCACCCCUGGUCCAUCCCUGUGCCCUCCCUGCGUGCUGGACCCUGAGUUCCAGAAAUGGGGAAGAGGAGGGGAGAGAAGAAGAGGUGGAUAGGACCUCGGAUCCAUUAAAGUGUUCUCACUUGGCUAA